AUUAAAACCUGCAGAAUUUAUUGUCAUCCAAUAACUCCAUAUCUCAGACAAAAUCCUUAACAUACAAAAACAAACAUCUAUUAAACAUUCCUCACAUGCCCCACACUCUAUUAACAUUUCUCAAAUUAUCUACACAUGCCUCACAUUCUCCUAAAAUUCCUCACAUUUUCUAAAUAUUCCCCACAUUCUCCUAACAUUCCUCACAAUUUCUAAGCAAUCUUCACAUUCUCUAAAUAUUCCUCACAUUCUCUUAACUUCUUUACAUUGUCUAUACAAAUAUGUAAAUUUGCAAUAUUACAUUAUGUUCACAUAUUCUAUAAACACUUUCCUGAUAAUCUACAAAACACAUUCCUUAUAUAAACAAAUUCACAAAUGACUGUUUUUUUCUGUUUUUCACCCUAGCUCUUACAACACACUGUGGUGUCCCCGAGUUAUCUUACGCAGUACGAAUUCCAAUCUAAUGGUCCAGGCUCCGGUCAGUAAACAGUAAACUGACUCAAUUCACCAUCUUGAGUUAUCAAUGGCAAUUGCUUUCUUUUCAAAUGUCAGCAGAAUGCAAUGAUUUGAUCAUCAUGCAAUUUACUUUGAGAUCACUUGAUGUAACAUGAGGUUAAAACAAUAGGUUUAUACAUGUAAGCUCACUUGAUGUAACAUGAGGUCAGACAAUAGGGUUAUACAUGUAAGCUCACUUGAUGUAACAUAAGGGCAAACAAUAGUUUUAUACAUGUAAGCUCACUUGAUGUAACAUGAGGUCAGACAAUAGGUUUACACAUGUAAACUCACUUGAUGUAACAUGAGGGCAAACAAUAAGUUUAUACAUGUAAGCUCACUUGAUGUAACAUAAGGGCAGACAAUAGUUUUAUACAUGUAAGCUCACUUGAUGUAACAUGAGGGCAGACAAUAGUUUUAUACAUGUAAGCUCACUUGAUGUACCAUGAGGGCAGACAAUAGGUUUACACAUGUAAACUCACUUGAUGUAACAUGAGGGCAGACAAUAGGUUUAUACAUGUAAGCUCACUUGAUGUAACAUGAGGUCAGACAAUAGGUUUAUAUAUGUAAGCUCACAGGAUGUAACAUGAGGUCAGACAAUAGGUUUACACAUGUAAACUCACUUAAAGUAACAUGAGGGCAGACAAUAGGUUUAUAUAUGUAAGCUCACAGGAUGUAACAUGAGGUCAGACAAUAGGUUUACACAUGUAAGCUCACUUGAUGUAACAUGAGGUCAGACAAUAGGUUUACACAUGUAAACUCACUUGAUGUAACAUGAGGUCAGACAAUAGGUUUACAUAUGUAAACUCACUUGAUGUAACAUGAGGGCAAACAAUAGGUUUAUACAUGUAAACUCACUUGAUGUAACAUGAGGUCA